rnacentral:lncRNA from 1 species
CCUGUAAUCCCAGCACUUUGGGAGGCUGAGGCGCUGGGAUUAUAGGUACGAAUCACUGCUCCUGACCCAGGCUGGUCUUGAACUCAUUUUCUCUGCUACUGGGCUUUUCUCAUGGGUACAGUGAUCCUCAGCUGCCUGCUCAUACUUGCCCUGGGGCACUGUGGAGAUUAGAAGCUCAAUACUCACUGGAAGCCCAGUCCGGCCCCUAGAGCCCUGAUGUCCAUUUCUCAGAUCAUUUCUCUUGGACUGGUCAAGUUCUCUGGGAUUUUUUGUUUUUGUUUCUUAAGAGAGACAGGGUCUCGCUGUGCCACCCAGGCUGAAGUGCAGUGACCCCAUCAUAGCUCACUGUAACCGUGAACUCCUGGGCUAAAGUAAUCCUCCUGCUUCAGCCUCCUGAGUAGCUGAGACCACAGACACACACCACCACACCCCGAUAAUUUUCUUUCUUUCUUUUUUUUUCUAUUGAUAGAGAUGGGGGUCUCACCAUGUUGCCCAGGCUGGCCUCAAACUCCUGGCCUGAAAGACAAAGGAGGCUGAACUGUGCAGAUGAGCUCAUUCACUAUCUCAGAGGUAAGUGGCUGACAGGUCUGGGCCCCCACAAUUGAGCCAUUCACAAGCAAAGAAUGCUGGCCUCUGAUGCCAUCAUGGCCAUGAGGCAGGGCCCCCUGCCCUGUCUCUAAAUAGGUACAGGCAACCAGCUCUUGAUUCCAGACUGGGGCUUCCUUUAGGGUGGUGGGCACCAGGGAAGGCAGUAGAGCAGUCAAGCUAUUAAUAGCAUAAGCCCCAUUCCACAGAGGACCUGGCUCAGGGCUCCACAGCAGCAAGGAGGUGGCAGAACAGAAACUAGACGAAGGGGAAGUAGUGACUGUCUUGGUUUGGAUUCCCCAAAAGUAGAUCCUGAAACAAGGAUCCAAGCUUAUAUUUUGAAGAUCCCCACAAAAGACAGUGUUGCCCCUCUGAGGAAGUAGAGCUUCAUCCUGCCAGGGAAUGCUGAGGGCCAGUGCAGGAUACGUGCCUUCCAGUUAUCCCACCUGAGGGGCAAGGGAGUUGGGGUAGUUAUACACCAUC